ACCGAACCCAGGGCCUUGCACUUCCUAGGCAAGCGCUCUACCACUGAGCUAAAUCCCCAACCUUUUUUUUUUGGUCUGGAGCUGAGGACCGAACCCAGGGCCUUGCGCUUGCUAGUCAAGCGCUCGCUAGUCAAGCGCUCUGCCACCCACAUUCAUAUUUUGUAUUACCCAUCACCUAGCACUUCCCAUGUCCUGUAGGGACAUUUAAUCUACUUCAGUGUCAUCUCUCUUCAUUGCUAGCUAAUAAGACAUUGCUAGCAAUACUGACUUUUUAGACCUUUGGUGUCAACUUGUUAAAUGGAUGAACCCCCUCUCCCUGGAGAGAUGUCUUUAUUAGUGGUAUUUCAGGUCAGUGCUCCUCUGUGCCAGCUGUGGCACAAAGUCCUCAAACACUGAGCACUCAUCCUGGGCUGUUCUAACAAAUGCUGUUCAAUAGCACCUGCAUGGAGAUCUAAGGACAACUGGGGAAUCUUCUGUUCAUCCACCAUCACAUGAUUAGAGUCAGACCCCUAGGCUUGGCAACAAGUACCUUUAUCCACCGAAUCAGCAGCCCAGGGAUUACUUUUAUUUUCUUCCGAAGAGAUGAUCCUUGAAUAAUGGACUGUACCUUCCAAUCAAAUAAAAACCUAAGUCACAUC
rnacentral:lncRNA from 14 species